rnacentral:tRNA from 1 species
UCGCGGGUCGUCCAACUGGUAGGACGCCUGGCUCUGAACCAGGAAAUCAAGGUUCGAAUCCUUGCCCGCGAACCA